rnacentral:rRNA from 1 species
GAUAAACGCUGGCGGCGCACAUAAGACAUGCAAGUCGAACGAACUUAACCUUUAGUUUACUAUUGGAGCGGUUAGUGGCGGACUGGUGAGUAACACGUAAGCAACCUGCCUAUUAGAGGGGAACAACAGUUAGAAAUGACUGCUAAUACCGCAUAUGCCUUGAGUUACGCAUGUAACAAAAGGGAAAGGAGCAAUCCGCUAAUAGAUGGGCUUGCGUCUGAUUAGAUAGUUGGUGGGGUAAAGGCCUACCAAGUCGACGAUCAGUAGCCGAACUGAGAGGUUGAACGGCCACAUUGGGACUGAGAUACGGCCCAGACUCCUACGGGAGGCAGCAGUCGGGAAUAUUGCGCAAUGGAGGAAACUCUGACGCAGUGACGCCGCGUGCAGGAAGAAGGUUUUCGGAUUGUAAACUGCUUUAGACAGGGAAGAAACAAGACAGUACCUGUAGAAUAAGCUCCGGCUAACUACGUGCCAGCAGCCGCGGUAAUACGUAGGGAGCAAGCGUUAUCCGGAUUUAUUGGGUGUAAAGGGUGCGUAGACGGGAAGGCAAGUUAGUUGUGAAAUCCCUCGGCUUAACUGAGGAACUGCAACUAAAACUAUCUUUCUUGAGUGCUGGAGAGGAAAGUGGAAUUCCUAGUGUAGCGGUGAAAUGCGUAGAUAUUAGGAGGAACACCAGUGGCGAAGGCGACUUUCUGGACAGUAACUGACGUUGAGGCACGAAAGUGUGGGGAGCAAACAGGAUUAGAUACCCUGGUAGUCCACGCCGUAAACGAUGGAUAAUAGGUGUAGGGGAUGAAUAAUCUUCUGUGCCGUCGCAAACGCAGUAAGUAUCCCACCUGGGGAGUACGGCCGCAAGGUUGAAACUCAAAGGAAUUGACGGGGGCCCGCACAAGCAGUGGAGUAUGUGGUUUAAUUCGACGCAACGCGAAGAACCUUACCAGGGCUUGACAUAUAGAGGAAUAUAUUAGAGAUAAUAUAGCUCUUUGGAGUCUCUAUACAGGUGGUGCAUGGUUGUCGUCAGCUCGUGUCGUGAGAUGUUGGGUUAAGUCCCGCAACGAGCGCAACCCCUGUUCUUAGUUGCCAGCGCGUAGAGGUGGGAACUCUAAGAAGACUGCCGGUGAUAAAUCGGAGGAAGGUGGGGACGACGUCAAAUCAUCAUGCCCUUUAUGUCCUGGGCUACACACGUACUACAAUGGCUGUAACAAAGGGAAGCGAAGGAGCGAUCUGGAGCAAAACCCAAAAAAGCAGUCUCAGUUCGGAUUGAAGGCUGAAAUUCGCCUUCAUGAAGCCGGAAUUGCUAGUAAUGGCAGGUCAGCAUACUGCCGUGA